AACUCGCCNGUAUGAAGUCGGAAUUGCUAGUAAUCGUGGAUCAGCAUGCCACGGUGAAUACGUUCCCGGGCCUUGUACACACCGCCCGUCACACCAUGAGAGCCGGGAACACCCGAAGUCCGUAGUCUAACCUAUAUGGAGGACGCGGCCGAAGGUGGGUUUGGUAAUUGGGGUGAAGUCGUAACAAGGUAAC
rnacentral:rRNA from 1 species